UACGUAGGGUGCGAGCGUUGUCCGGAAUUAUUGGGCGUAAAGGGCUCGUAGGCGGUUUGUCGCGUCGGGAGUGAAAACACCGGGCUUAACUCGGUGCUUGCUUUCGAUACGGGCAGACUUGAGGCAUGCAGGGGAGAACGGAAUUCCUGGUGUAGCGGUGAAAUGCGCAGAUAUCAGGAGGAACACCGGUGGCGAAGGCGGUCUGCUGGGCCAAGACUGACGCUGAGGCGCGACAGCGUGGGGAGCAAACAGG
rnacentral:rRNA from 1 species